UGGGGAAUUUUGGACAAUGGGCGAAANCCUGNUCCAGCAAUGCCGCGUGUGUGAAGAAGGCCUUCGGGUUGUAAAGCACUUUGUCCGGAAAGAAAUCCUUGGCCUAAUACAGUCGGGGGAUACGGUACCGGAAGAAUAAGCACCGGCUAACUACGUGCCAGCAGCCGCGGUAAUACGUAGGGUGCAAGCGUUAAUCGGAAUUACUGGGCGUAAGCGUGCGCAGGCGGUUGCUAAGACCGAUGUGAAAUCCCCGGGCUCAACCUGGGAACUGCAUUGGUGACUGGCAGGCUAGAGUAUGGCAGAGGGGGGUAGAAUUCCACGUGUAGCAGUGAAAUGCGUAGAGAUGUGGAGGAAUACCGAUGGCGAAGGCAGCCCCCUGGGCCAAUACUGACGCUCAUGCACGAAAGCGUGGGGAGC
rnacentral:rRNA from 1 species